CAUGCAGCACCACAGCAGGUUUCCUUCCAUAGCACUGGUUUCUCCACAGAACCUCUUUCCAUCUAAGACAAGGUACGACCCAACAUGCAGAUGUUAUCACUGUAGCUGUAGAAUGAAGAACCACUUAAAGUAAUGACUAUUUAAUACUCAUCUGGGCUUUACCAUACCAAAUAAUAAAAUAAAUAAAUAAAAAACCCCCAAAAACCACACACACACAAAAAAACAUAUUAGAGCAAAGAGUGUAUAUGAGUUAGAAUCAACACAGACUAAGUUGAAGUAAAUAAAGAUGUACAAGAGUAAUGUCAUUUUUUAAAUUAUUAAAACAGUUAUGAAAAUAUACCAUCAGUAUCCAGGCAAGAUAUUUGUUGAUUGGUGCGAUUAACUUUGUGUUAAGGUGAUAGAACAGAUCCUUAUUGCUUCAUCCUCUUAAAUAGCCUUCAUUUUGCAGGACACCACACAUCUUCAUCCCAAGGCUGUCCAGUCCCACAGGGAGGGCAGUGAGUUGGGGCAGCCAUGCCCAGUCUAGGAGUGGAAUUCCUUCUCCUUGAUCAGUGGCCUGGUCUGAGAAGUUUGGUGAUGGCACCGAUUGGAGAGCACUGGAACUGCACCAAUGGGAGUGUUCCGAGAUUACCUCAACUAAUGAUCACCUCGUGCACGGGUGAGGUUGUAUCUUGGAGCUGAAUUCUUCAGAGACUGGCAUCUGGGCAGGAGCAUUUCUCCUGUAUCUAUUUGUCAAGAUGGUCCUCGUAAUUACCAUUCCUUAUCACAAUGGAAAACAGAUCUUUCAAUUGGUAUCCUAAAAUAUCUUCGGCAUUAGCUGGGACAUGAGCUGGACGGUAAGUUACAUUUGAAUACAUAGGUUAGUACUUUGGUUUUAAGUCUCUUAAAUUCCUUGUCAUUGGGCUUGCCUGGCAACGUUUUGGUAGCAAGGGCCUGCAGAGUGGCCUCUGUGAGCAGCCCAGCAUUGCCCCAUGUCAGAUCAGAGAUAGCUCCAGCUGCUCCAAAAGGUACCUAUUGCUGCCAGAGCUGAGACGUGAGCACUGCUGGGUGUGCUCUGGGGACAGCAGCCCAUGGAGAGGAGACCACAGUGUGGCAGAAGGGCUGGGGGAGCUGCUGCCUGUGGGGACCUGU
rnacentral:lncRNA from 1 species